ensembl:lncRNA
CAGGAGACCCAGGUUUGAUCCCUGGGUCGGGACGAUCUCCAGGAGAAAGAAAUGACCAUCCACUCCAGUAUUCUUGCCUGAAAAAGAAGCCCGGUGGGCUAUACUCCAUGAGGUCACAAAGAGUCGGACAUGACUUAGCAACAAAACCACUAACACUGAUCCAUGUGGGGGAUGGCUGAGAUGGAGAACGCGGAGAGCAGAGCUGUAUCCCCUUCCUUCCUCAAGCAGCCCCGGCUCAGGCUUGCAUCUCCUCCAGUUAACCUGACCCACCUUUCCAGCCCAGAAGGCAACACUUAUCUGCUGUUACUCUGGAAAUGGUGUUAAGGUCUCCCCACCUGCACCCACUCUUGGUGAUUUAUCAGAGUAUGCCUGUGUUCCUUUACCUCCAUGGAGUCCUGGAAGAAUAUACAGAAUGUUCUCCGUUCCCUUAGGUUUACUGCUGCUUUCUGGGCACUCCUUGUUGCAGGGACUGGAGACAGUAGAUUUGCCUUUUGACCUGGCUCUGUGCCCAGUCAGGCUCUUCUCUCUCCCGGCAGCCUCUAUAGUUAAAGCAGAGAUGAGCAUUCAUUAGAACAGUAAAUCUGACUCUGAGGAGAUCAGGCCAUGCAACAAGAAAACACAGACCUUGGCACUUCGUUCACAUAACCCGCAGCUAUCUUCAAAGGAGGCAUCAUUCCGAAGAGACCUCUGGUACCCAGAGCAGUCCAUGGAGAGCCUGUGACUGCGGCUGCACAGAGAUGCAGGCGAGGAUGGGACAGGAUGGCAGACUCAUCUCACCUGACAGACCGCCCACUGGGUGCAGACCCAGAUACCUGUAUGGAGCUGGCAGUUCCUGCCCAGGCUUGGGCACCGACCUUCCAUAUAGCCACAGCAAGCUCCAAAGCUGGACUGGAGUUAAAAGCAGACAUGCAAGUCCUUUUAAUGCAGAUGCUGUCCUUUGGACCAUGAGGUGGAGGCCAUAAACAGUAUAAUAAGAAGAUGGCACAAGCCUGUACAACCAACAUCAGGGAGAACCUUGCCAUCCUGAACCACCCACCGAGAGCUGCGUGUGAGAGAGGAAUGAGCUGCUAUCCCAUUUCCAUCAUCAAUAUUCUGGUUAUCCAUCAUUUGUAGCCAAGCAUAACCUAACGUGUGCACACGCCUAAAAACACGCCUGCAAGGAUGUCCAUCAUCAUGUUGACAGUGACUGCCAUAGGAGUGCAGGGUUUGUAGUGAUUUUUAUGUUAUCUUUAUCGUUCUCUGGGUACAUGGGCCACUUCUUACAAAAGCACUACAUCAAAGAAAAA